UAAAAGAGAGUAAUGUUGUUGUUGUUACACUGUUAAUCACUUAGCUGUGGAGCAUUAAGAGAAGACUAUAUUAGCCAUUGUACUUUAUAAACCAACACAAAAAAUACUUGGGGUGCCCUAGAGCUUUGGAUUCAGUAGGGUGCAAAAGGUCUUUACUGAGACUACUAUUCCAUCAACAUUUCUGUAGAUCUUUUAACUCUGUCAGAUAAUUAGGUAUUCAGAUCCAUGCAUACUUGUAAGAAAAAUAGUUCUCACUGGUUGAUGACUGUUUAACUAUGAGUCUAGAACAUAAGCCAGAAACUAAAAAUUUUGAUUCCCC
rnacentral:lncRNA from 1 species